AUUAGGAGACCUUAUGAUCUCCCCUCGGAGCCUCCCCACACACCAAGGCUAACCUUUGGGGUCCUCAAAGGUGACCAGAGCAGAACCUUCAGGCAGAGGGCAGCAGACCUUCAAGUUAGAAACUACAAACUUGGGCACUUGCCUGCCCUGCUUAGUUUGGCCUUGGAAUACCAGGGGAACUUCAGGUACCGGGAAUGGGAUCUGGAGGUUGGGAGAAGGAGGAAUACCUCAGUUCCCACCUGACCUUGGUUCUGGGAGAGCCUGUGCGCUCCCUUUUGAGCUGCUGCAGCUCCUGCAGCCUCGUCUUGAGCCUGGCUUGCUCCUCCUGAAGAC
ensembl:antisense